UUGGGACCCCAGGUCAGGCG
rnacentral:rRNA from 1 species